rnacentral:rRNA from 1 species
ACCUCCUCUCCCGGCCCGAACUCAGAUCAAGUAACAUUUUAAACCCGACCGUUCUCUGCUUCAAAUAUUUUUAAAUUGCUGUGGUAUUUUGACUAUACAAAGGUAUUGAAAUAAGACUUUAAUUGAGUGCUAAGAGAAUGGAAUUUCAUAAAAUUUCUUUUUUAAUUUUAAAAAUUGAAAUUAAUUUUAUAUGUGAAGAAACAAUAAUAAAAAUUAAGGACAAGAAGACCCUAAGAAUUUUAAAAAUUUCAAUAUAAUAUAAUAUUAUAUUGAAAUUUUUUAAUUGGGGCGAUUAUUAAAUAUUAAAAACUUUAAUUUUUUUAAAAAAGAACCAAUAUUAUUGGUUAUUUGAGAAAAUACUCUAGGGAUAACAGCGUAAUAAUUUUUGAUAGUUCUUAUAGACAAAAUAGUUUGCGACCUCGAUGUUGGAUUAGGAUUCUUUUUUAAUGAAGAAGUAAAAAAAGAAGUUUGUUC